CCUACGGGAGGCUGCAGUGGGGAAUAUUGGACAAUGGGCGAAAGCCUGAUCCAGCCAUGCCGCGUGUGUGAAGAAGGCCUUCGGGUUGUAAAGCACUUUCAGUGGGGAAGAAAGCCUUGGGGCUAAUACCCUAGAGGAAGGACAUCACCCACAGAAGAAGCACCGGCUAACUCCGUGCCAGCAGCCGCGGUAAUACGGAGGGUGCGAGCGUUAAUCGGAAUUACUGGGCGUAAAGCGCGCGUAGGCGGUCUGAUAAGCCGGUUGUGAAAGCCCCGGGCUCAACCUGGGAACGGCAUCCGGAACUGUCAGGCUAGAGUGCAGGAGAGGAAGGUAGAAUUCCCGGUGUAGCGGUGAAAUGCGUAGAGAUCGGGAGGAAUACCAGUGGCGAAGGCGGCCUUCUGGACUGACACUGACGCUGAGGUGCGAAAGCGUGGGUAGCAAACAGUAUUAGAUACCCCGGUAGUC
rnacentral:rRNA from 1 species